AUANUGCAGUCGACGAACUUCCGUUAAUUGAUUAUGACGUACUUGUACUGAUUGAGAUUUUAACACGAAGUGAGUGGCGAACGGGUGAGUAACACGUGGGUAACCUGCCCAGAAGUAGGGGAUAACACCUGGAAACAGAUGCUAAUACCGUAUAACAGAGAAAACCGCAUGGUUUUCUUUUAAAAGAUGGCUCUGCUAUCACUUCUGGAUGGACCCGCGGCGUAUUAGCUAGUUGGUGAGGUAAAGGCUCACCAAGGCAGUGAUACGUAGCCGACCUGAGAGGGUAAUCGGCCACAUUGGGACUGAGACACGGCCCAGACUCCUACGGGAGGCAGCAGUAGGGAAUCUUCCACAAUGGACGCAAGUCUGAUGGAGCAACGCCGCGUGAGUGAAGAAGGGUUUCGGCUCGUAAAGCUCUGUUGUUAAAGAAGAACGUGGGUAAGAGUAACUGUUUACCCAGUGACGGUAUUUAACCAGAAAGCCACGGCUAACUACGUGCCAGCAGCCGCGGUAAUACGUAGGUGGCAAGCGUUAUCCGGAUUUAUUGGGCGUAAAGCGAGCGCAGGCGGUCUUUUAAGUCUAAUGUGAAAGCCUUCGGCUCAACCGAAGAAGUGCAUUGGAAACUGGGAGACUUGAGUGCAGAAGAGGACAGUGGAACUCCAUGUGUAGCGGUGAAAUGCGUAGAUAUAUGGAAGAACACCAGUGGCGAAGGCGGCUGUCUGGUCUGCAACUGACGCUGAGGCUCGAAAGCAUGGGUAGCGAACAGGAUUAGAUACCCUGGUAGUCCAUGCCGUAAACGAUGAUUACUAAGUGUUGGAGGGUUUCCGCCCUUCAGUGCUGCAGCUAACGCAUUAAGUAAUCCGCCUGGGGAGUACGACCGCAAGGUUGAAACUCAAAAGAAUUGACGGGGGCCCGCACAAGCGGUGGAGCAUGUGGUUUAAUUCGAAGCUACGCGAAGAACCUUACCAGGUCUUGACAUCUUCUGACAGUCUAAGAGAUUAGAGGUUCCCUUCGGGGACAGAAUGACAGGUGGUGCAUGGUUGUCGUCAGCUCGUGUCGUGAGAUGUUGGGUUAAGUCCCGCAACGAGCGCAACCCUUAUUACUAGUUGCCAGCAUUAAGUUGGGCMC
rnacentral:rRNA from 1 species